rnacentral:misc_RNA from 1 species
AAGUCGUAACAAGGUUUCCGUAGGUGAACCUGCGGAAGGAUCAUUAACACGUAUCCAACGUUAAACAACCCUGUGAACUUUCAGCCUGCUCUUAAACCGAACAACUGUUAACAAUGGAUAUCUUGGUUCUC